GAGACACACGCAUUUUGAAGUUCAAGUUGUGUCGGAAAACAAAAUUGGAUCUCCGGGAUUAUAACAGCUUGCUCCGGCCUCCUCCAGCAUGCAUCUUUUUGCGAAAUACAUUCUCAUCCUCCAAAUUAUUAUCCUUUUUGUGACAACCUGCCAGACUCUGUUAUGCAUUCCUUGUCAUAAAGUGACAUGCAAGGAUCCAGAGGAUUGCAAAGGGGGGCUGGUGCGUAGUAUUUGCGGGUGCUGCAAUGUUUGCGCCAAGGUGAAGGGAGAGGACUGUGGCGGCCAAUUGGAUCUGCGCGGGAUAUGCGACCAGGGGCUCAAGUGCGUGUACCCGCCCUUCCACUCGUUUAGAGUGGACGUGUUUGGAGUUUGCCAAGUAUCAGACUAGUUGAAGAAGAGAAUGAAAGUCCUUACAUGGAUUCAAGAGGAGCCCAUCCAUGGUCUACCCAACAUGUGAUUGGUGUGAAAGGAAAAUCUCUAGACACUACAUUAACCAGCUUUGUUAGCUUACGCUUGCUGGUCAUUGAAAGACCACUGUACCACACCACAAUACAAAAAGUCAAGACUGAUUCAAUAAAACACCGGUAAAACAAAG